rnacentral:tRNA from 1 species
GGCCUCGUAGUUCAACGGAUAGAAUAAAGGAUUCCGGUUCCUUAGAUCUGGGUUCGAUUCCCAGCGAGGUUA